rnacentral:tRNA from 1 species
GCCUCUUUAGUUCAAUGGAUUAGAAUACCGGCUUUGUACCCCGGUGAUGUCAGUUCGAUUCUGACAAGAGGCA